rnacentral:rRNA from 1 species
UACGAACUGUGCAAACGUUAUUCGGAUUCACUGGGCUUAAAGGGUGCGCAGGCGGCCAAGUGUGUGAGGCGUGAAAGCCCGGGGCUUAACCCCGGAAUUGCACCUCAAACUACAUGGCUAGAGCAUUGGAGAGGGUAGCGGAAUUCAUGGUGUAGCAGUGAAAUGCGUAGAUAUCAUGAGGAAUACCAGAGGCGAAGGCGGCUACCUGGACAAUUGCUGACGCUCAGGCACGAAAGCGUGGGGAGCAAAAGGG